rnacentral:lncRNA from 1 species
AAAGAAGCGCGCAGCCCGGGGCAGCAGCAAGUGCUCCUUUUUCGGUGCGCUGCUUUCCAACUCUGCUGCCCUUUGAGGCUUUUCCUAACAACCGCACCCAGAGGUCCCAGCACGGGUCUCAGCAUGCCAGGCCUGGGAGCCCCGCACCACCGCGAGAAUCGCCGUCCCCUACCUGGGUGGAAAAUCCGCAGCGAGCCGGUCAGCAGCCGAACACCGCACUGGCAAAGCCUCACAGGAGACAGCUAUAUCAGGAUCCCUUCGCAAAAUCUUGCUGGCGUAUGCAAUAGUGUCUGCAUUUGGUGGCUGAUUAUGGGAUGGACCCCCAGAGACAAAAAGACUCGGGACCAUUUCUCAUUGGCAGUAGCAGCAAAACACUGGAAAUCACUUUAAUGUUCAACAUGAGGGGAGUUUUGAAGUCAAUAGUGGCGUAUAGCUGCAUGUGACGAGACACUUUAAAGUGUGAAAUCACUUUCUGGAAGAUGAUUUAAUGGAGAGGAGAAUGUAUAUGAGAAAACACAGCCUCCGACCUGAGUCUACAGAGUAACUCCAAUAUGCAGAUGAAGAUGAGAGUUUCAUGCUUCAAGGAACUGAUUUUAUACAAUUCCUCCAAAGUCUGGAGCAUAGGAUUUCAAUGUAGCCUCUCUACUGCCCUUCCAGGGGUCAGAUAGGCUUGCAAAUGUUUGAAGAGUAACACUGACCACACAAAGUCAUCCAGACAGACUAGCAGAGUCUCAGAGAACAGAUGGCCAAUGAGAGAAU